GUGUCAGCCGCCGCGGUAAGACAGAGGAGCCAAGCGUUGUCCGGAGUGACUGGGCGUAAAGCGCACGCAGGCGGUCGUGCACGUGGGGUGUGAAAGCCCCGGGCUCAACAUGGGAAUUGCAUUCGAGACUGCGUAGCUAGGGUGCGGAAGAGGGAAGCGGAAUUUCCGGUGUAGCGGUGAAAUGCGUAGAUAUCGGAAGGAACACCAGUGGCGAAAGCGGCUUCCUGGUCCAGCACCGACGUUCAGGCACGAAAGCGUGGGGAGCAAACCGGAUUAGAUACCCGGGUAGUCC
rnacentral:rRNA from 1 species